rnacentral:tRNA from 1 species
CAUUAAGUAACCUAAGUCUUAAGGUGUAAGAUUUUUAAUCUUAUUAUGUAAUUUUUUUACUUUAAUGA